rnacentral:rRNA from 1 species
AACGAACGCUGGCGGCAUGCCUAACACAUGCAAGUCGAACGAGACCUUCGGGUCUAGUGGCGCACGGGUGCGUAACGCGUGGGAAUCUGCCCUUGGGUUCGGAAUAACAGUUAGAAAUGACUGCUAAUACCGGAUAAUGUCUUCGGACCAAAGAUUUAUCGCCCAGGGAUGAGCCCGCGUAGGAUUAGCUAGUUGGUGAGGUAAAGGCUCACCAAGGCGACGAUCCUUAGCUGGUCUGAGAGGAUGAUCAGCCACACUGGGACUGAGACACGGCCCAGACUCCUACGGGAGGCAGCAGUGGGGAAUAUUGGACAAUGGGCGAAAGCCUGAUCCAGCAAUGCCGCGUGAGUGAUGAAGGCCUUAGGGGUUGUAAAGCUCUUUUACCCGGGAAGAUAAUGACUGUACCGGGAGAAUAAGCCCCGGCUAACUCCGUGCCAGCAGCCGCGGUAAU